AUCACUUCUCAGCCUGUUUGGAUGAGAUUAAGUGUAGUAUCUGCUCUUACCAGUUUAGCACCUGGCAUGCCCUCUAUUUGAGGCUGCUAUAGUGAGUGAAUUUUGGGAACAAAGGGAUGGAGUAUGGAGUUCACUCUGUCCACUCCAUGCAGUCAUCUGGUGUUGCCCCUCAGGGGUGGCUAUCAGU